rnacentral:RNase_P_RNA from 1 species
CAGGUUGGCCGGGUGGUUGCGGUCCUGUGACCAAGUCACAGGGUCGAGGAAAGUCCGCACUCCACAGGGCGCGAUGCCGGAUAACUUCCGGGGCGGAGCAAUCUGCCGGACUGGGCCACAGAAACAUACCGCUCCUCCGGGAGUAAGGGUGAAAUGGUGGUGUAAGAGACCACCGGCGCGGGCAGCAAUGUCCGCGGCCAGGCAACCCCCAUCGGGAGCAAAACCAAGCAGGGAUGAACUCCUCCGGGAGGGGAAGCGGCUCGUUUCCCUCGAAUCCCAGGUAGGUUGCGCCGAGAGCCAUCGAGAGAUGUCUCCCAGAUAGAUAAUCACCACCGGUUCAGGAAGGGAAGACGCCCACGUGGUGUAAACCGGCUCUGAACCGGCACAGAAUGCGGCUUACAGACCGGCCUGGGGA